CAGCGCCACGAGUGGUAACCACGUUUAUUGGGCCUAAAGCGUCCGUAGCCGGUUUGAUAAAUCUUUUGUGAAAUUGUACAGCUUAACUGUACAGCGUGCAAGAGACACUGUCAAACUUGAGACCGGGAGGAGUCAGAAGUAUUCCAGAGGGAGCGGUAAAAUGUUAUAAUCUCUGGAGGACUACCUGUGGCGAAGGCGUCUGACCAGAACGGAUCUGACGGUGAGGGACGAAAGCUAGGGGAGCGAUCCGGAUUAGAUACCCGAGUAGUCC
rnacentral:rRNA from 1 species